GAUGAACGCCGGCGGCGUGCCUAAUACAUGCAAGUCGAGCGAACAGACGAGGAGCUUGCUCCUCUGACGUUAGCGGCGGACGGGUGAGUAACACGUGGAUAACCUACCUAUAAGACUGGGAUAACUUCGGGAAACCGGAGCUAAUACCGGAUAAUAUAUUGAACCGCAUGGUUCAAUAGUGAAAGACGGUUUUGCUGUCACUUAUAGAUGGAUCCGCGCCGCAUUAGCUAGUUGGUAAGGUAACGGCUUACCAAGGCAACGAUGCGUAGCCGACCUGAGAGGGUGAUCGGCCACACUGGAACUGAGACACGGUCCAGACUCCUACGGGAGGCAGCAGUAGGGAAUCUUCCGCAAAGGGCGAAAGCUUGACGGAGCAACGCCGCGUGAGUGAUGAAGGUCUUCGGAUCGUAAAACUCUGUUAUUAGGGAAGAACAAAUGUGUAAGUAACUAUGCACGUCUUGACGGUACCUAAUCAGAAAGCCACGGCUAACUACGUG
rnacentral:rRNA from 1 species